rnacentral:rRNA from 1 species
GACGAACGCUGGCGGCGCGCCUAACACAUGCAAGUCGAGCGAGAACCAGGGCUUCGGCCCUGGGGACAGCGGCGAACGGGUGAGUAACACGUGGAUAACCUGCCCUCGGCACCGGAAUAGCCCGAGGAAACUCGGAUUAAUGCCGGAUAGCCCCACAUCCCUGCGGGGAACGUGGGAAAGGGUAGCUUCGGCCUCUGGCCGGGGAUGGGUCCGCGGUGGAUUAGCUUGUUGGCGGGGUAACGGCCCACCAAGGCGACGAUCCAUAGCUGGUCUGAGAGGAUGAUCAGCCACACUGGGACUGAGACACGGCCCAGACUCCUACGGGAGGCAGCAGUGGGGAAUCUUGCGCAAUGGGCGAAAGCCUGACGCAGCGACGCCGCGUGCGGGAAGAAGGCCUUCGGGUUGUAAACCGCUUUCAGGAGGGACGAAGCCACUCGGGUUAAUAGCCCAGAGGGUGACGGUACCUCCAGAAGAAGCCCCGGCUAACUACGUGCCAGCCGCCGCAGUAACAC